GUCUCAAAAAAAAAAAAAAAAAGGUGAGGUCACCCAGGGUAUCAGUGGACAAGCUGAGAACAAAACCAAAGUUUCUAACACCGAAAAUUUGUCUUCUGCUCAUCCCAGCCUGAAAGGAAGGUGAACCAAGAUGCAAUCCAUGCCCAUUCAAGUGGGGUCUGUGUGUCCAGGCAGAGGUGUCUGCCCUCUACAAAGGGCACAGGGGAGAGAGUGAUGCUUAACCCAAAGGAGGUCUCGCUGAUGGUGGAAUUUCAGGCACCGUGUUUAUGUUUGGCCUAAUUAGCUUGAGACCAGUGUCCUUGACGGGAACUAAGACGCCCCCCACGCCCAUCCCCGGCUCCCAGGCUCUCUCCACCCAAGUUCUGCCCACCAGGGCACACUGCUUCCCUCUGCCACCUCCUCUUCCCACGAGCCCUGGUACACCCUAGAUUCUCAGGGCUGUGGCUCCUUGCUUUACAAAUGAGUAAGUUGGUGGCAGGGAAGGAAGUGGGCUGGGCCAUGACCAAGAGUCACUAUGAUUCACGGGGAAAACCCUGCCCUCCCGAUUCAACUCUGUGUGCAAAAAGGUUUUGUGCGGGUUCCUAGGGUCUCAGGGUCAAUGGAUGUAGAUAGACCACUAGAGGUAUACACAGCCACUGUCCACCAACUCUCCCACCCCCCGGGUCUGCCUACAGCCCUGGAUGGGGAUCCUGUACCGGGGGGGCGGUUGGGGGGUUGGACAGGUGUGGGUUGAGGUGUUGUUUACAUGUUGAACACACUGGGGUUCCAGGUAAGUUUCCGUCAGAAGAAAGCACUUCACUGCUGAGGCAGAAAUUUCAAAAUAUUGAACCACUUUUCGAUCCUGGCAGAAGGGAAUUUUCCCAGGGUGAUAAAAGUGUUCUAAAAUUAGAUUUGAGUGAUGGCUGCCCAAAAGGAAUUAUGAUAUUAUUCAAGAAAUCAUGGCUUUGCUGAACAACAGAAAACUCGAACACUGAGCAUUUGAAGAUAUUAAGGAAUUGUUGAUUUUUAUGUUCACUGUUUAGGUGAAAUGAUAGCAUUGUGAGUGUGUUAUUUUUAAAUGAGUCCUUAUCUUUUAAAGAUACAGGCAGAAAUAGCUAUAAAAUGAUCUGAUGGCUGGGAUUUGCUUUCAAAUAAUACAGGAGAGGGCCGUGGGUGAGGAGAGGGAACCAGAUUGCCUAUGAGCUGAGUGAUGGGUAUGUGGUUGCGAGGGCAGACACCAUUCUUCUCUCUGCUUUCGAUGGGUGCGUAGAAUUUCCCAUAAUAAAAAGUGGUUUUUAAAUUGUUUUGACCAUUGGCCUCGCGCGG
rnacentral:lncRNA from 1 species